AGGAUAAAUAAGAGACCCGGAGAAGGAGAGGUGUUGAGGCGUUGUGGGUUCCCCUAUGGGGAGGCUAUUUGAGCUGUUGGUUCUCCUGGAGGAGCUCAUCAUGACUAUCUUUCCCAGUGAGCUCAGGGCCUCCGUGUCACUGAGGAUGGCUGUGGUGCUUUUCAGGACAGCCCUGGUCUUUGUUUUGAGCAUGACUUCUCGGCUCCAGCAUAGAAAACUCAACCUGUCAGCACAGCUCCUUCACCUCCCUGGCAUAGACUUUCUAGCUUCCAUCCCUGACCUUUGGGCCUUCCCAGCACAGAUCUGUAAAGGAGACUGGCAUGAGUCCUUCUUUUGGGCUCUAGUUGGACUCGUGAGAGGCAUUGUCAUGAGCUCUGGGUCUUCAUGCAGGACAUUGCUGGGGGAUUCAGGCCCUUGGCUAAAUAUUCUAUGUCUUUAGUGUUGUGGAGAGAUUUCCUGCACUUUUUUUUGUGUGUUAACUCUGGGUGACCAUCAUAAAAUAAUAAAUUCCAUGUCCUGAUUCUAA